rnacentral:rRNA from 1 species
AUUGAACGCUGGCGGCAUGCCUUACACAUGCAAGUCGAACGGACCCUUCGGGGUUAGUGGCGGACGGGUGAGUAACACGUGGGAACGUGCCUUUAGGUUCGGAAUAGCUCCUGGAAACGGGUGGUAAUGCCGAAUGUGCCCUUCGGGGGAAAGAUUUAUCGCCUUUAGAGCGGCCCGCGUCUGAUUAGCUAGUUGGUGAGGUAACGGCUCACCAAGGCGACGAUCAGUAGCUGGUCUGAGAGGAUGACCAGCCACACUGGGACUGAGACACGGCCCAGACUCCUACGGGAGGCAGCAGUGGGGAAUCUUGCGCAAUGGGCGAAAGCCUGACGCAGCCAUGCCGCGUGAAUGAUGAAGGUCUUAGGAUUGUAAAAUUCUUUCACCGGGGACGAUAAUGACGGUACCCGGAGAAGAAGCCCCGGCUAACUUCGUGCCAGCCGCCGCAGUAA